rnacentral:rRNA from 1 species
GGUAAUUCUAGAGCUAAUACAUGCUUACAGACCCAACUCUUCGGACGGGUUGUGCUUAUUAGAUACCGAACCAACCCCUUUCGGGGGCUUUCAGUUGAUUCAUAGUAGUCCAGCGAAUCGCCCAUUGCAGGCGAUGAGUCUUUCAAGUUUCUGACCUAUCAGCUUCCGACGGUAGGGUAUUGGCCUACCGUGGCUUUGACGGGUAACGGAGAAUUAGGGUUCGAUUCCGGAGAGGGAGCCUGAGAAACGGCUACCACAUCUAAGGAAGGCAGCAGGCGCGUAAAUUACCCAAUCCUGACACAGGGAGGUAGUGACAAGAAAUACCAAUAUAAGGCUCAUAUGUCUUGUAAUUGGGAUGAGUAUAAUUUAAACCGCGUUACGAGUAUCAAUUGGAGGGCAAGUCUGGUGCCAGCAGCCGCGGUAAUUCCAGCUCCAAUAGCGUAUAUUAAAAUUGUUGCGGUUAAAACGCUCGUAGUUGGAUAUUUGUUGAGAACUACCGGUCUACCCCAGUGGUCAGCACACGGUUUGUUCUCGGCACUUUCCCGGGGAGAGUGUUUGCACUUCACUGUGUGGCACAUGAUCCAGAACUUUUACUUUGAGGAAAUGAGAGUGUUUCAAGCAGGCGCCUGUCCUGAAUACGUUAGCAUGGAAUAAUAGCAUGGGAACGCGGUCUGAAGCUGUUGGUUUUUGGGCCGUGGUAAUGAAAAUAGGGAUAGUUUGGGGGUAUCGUAUUUAACUGUCAGAGGU